GCAGCUGUGAUCUAGUUGGUUAGGAUUCAAGCCUUCCAAGCUUGUUGCCCGGGUUCGAAUCCCGGCGGCUGCA
rnacentral:tRNA from 1 species